CGUAGGGACCGUAGCGUUGUCCGGAUUCAUUGGGCGUAAAGAGCUCGUAGGCGGCUGCUCAAGUCGAAUGUGAAACCUCGAGGCUUAACCUCGAGCCUGCAUUCGAUACUGGGCGGCUAGAGUCUGGUAGGGGGAUCUGGAAUUCCUGGUGUAGCGGUGGAAUGCGCAGAUAUCAGGAGGAACACCGGUGGCGAAGGCGGGAUCCUGGGCCAGUACUGACGCUGAGGAGCGAAAGCGUGGGGAGCAAACAGGAUUAGAUACCCUGGUAGUCCACGCCGUAAACGAUGGGCGCUAGGUGUGGGAGGUCAUCGACUCCUUCCGUGCCGCAGCUAACGCAUUAAGCGCCCCGCCUGGGGAGUACGGCCGCAAGGCUA
rnacentral:rRNA from 1 species